rfam:Sporomusa sphaeroides DSM 2875 SPSPH_contig000003, whole genome shotgun sequence.
GCAAGGGCUAUGAGAGGAAGAAGUAGGUCAGUUUCACAUCAUUCAGAGAGCAGCCGGCUGGUGAGAGGCUGUUGACGUACUGAUUGAAUACAUCCUGGAGCCGAUGCCUGAAUUGAUAGUAGGGUUGACGGUUACGCCGGAUACAGCGUAUGAGUGUUAGCACUCAUUGAGGGAAAUUCUGUGAGGAAUUUCCAAGUCAGAGGUGGUACCGCAUUUUGCCCUCUGC